CGGAGCUGGCGCAGCCGAGCCGCGGUCAGAGCCCGAGCUCGGGUGUGCGUGCGUUUGUUUAUGUUUCGCUCGGGCCCGCUCUAGUGCCUCCCGCGGCGCCGCCGCUCAAGUCUGUGCUGUCUUCGGCUCUUCUCCCCUUUCCUAGCCUGGCCGCCUCCGCGACCCCCCGUCACCCCCCACCCGGUCGAAUGGCCCGAGCCCGGGGACUGCGCGGGCAGCUCCCUCUCCCCUCUUCGCCCGCGGGCCAGAGGGCGAACGGGGGUCUGGGCGCAGAUGGGCCCUUGUCACUUCCAAAAAAUAAAGGAAAGACAGAAAGAAGGGGGAGCAGCAGCCCAGCGGGUGUUCGCAGAGGUCGGGAAGCGCCAAGUCUCCCGGGCUGCUAGAAAACCCGGACCAGCACGUUCAUCACCUCCUUGCUCCCGCUGCUGCCAUCUUGACAGUUUCCCCCUUCCCGAGUCCUUUAAAAACACUAGCGGGCGAGAAGGGGGGCGCGCACACCGCGGCUCAGGGAGGGGAAAGGGAAGCGCCCGGCCCAGCUCGGAAGCAGAUCCGGAGUCACCGGGAAGGCGGCCGCCCGCUGCACGGCUCCGGCGCCUACCUCGCUUCCUUCCCUUCAG
rnacentral:lncRNA from 1 species